UGUUGAGUAUCUCAUGAUAGCUCUGGGCAUCACAGAGCACUAGUGAUGUGUUAUUGCUCUGUGAAUAGUAUAGUAGUACUAGUGAUAACAUAUGCCAUGUUUACCACUAGGUGCACUAGAUGCAUGCCUGGGAUCCCCAGUUUUCAGAUGUUUCAAAAAUCAAAAUCAUCUGGCCAAAUCAGAACCAGUCAGAGUGACCGGUUCCUGAAGGCAGGGGCUGCAGGUGGAGGACUGUCCUUCCAUACACAUUUUGGGGAAGGCCUGACAAACGAUUCUUAAAAAGCUAUCAUCACCACCAUCAUCACUGGCCGUCCAGUCUGGCGAUAAUAAUAAUAAUAAUACAGGUAGCUCUUGGUUUAUACUACAGUUCCGUUCCUACAAAAGCUGGCACAAAUUGAAUCGGUGUAAAAUGAACCCAUAUUUACAGUGAGGUGUAUAGGGUUAGGUUCUACAUAAGUGAAAAAUAAGCAAAU
rnacentral:lncRNA from 1 species